rnacentral:rRNA from 1 species
CCUACGGGCGGCAGCAGUGAGGAAUAUUGGUCAAUGGACGUAAGUCUGAACCAGCCAUGCCGCGUGCGGGAAGAAGGUGCUAUGCAUCGUAAACCGCUUUUAUAAGGGGGUAAUUACAGAGACGUGUAUCUGGAUGAAAGUACCGUAUGAAUAAGGAUCGGCUAACUCCGUGCCAGCAGCCGCGGUAAUACGGAGGAUCCGAGCGUUAUCCGGAUUUAUUGGGUUUAAAGGGUGCGUAGGCGGCCAGGUAAGUGAGAGGUGAAAGCCCGAUGCUCAACAUUGGAAUUGCCGUUGAAACUGGGUGACUAGAGUGUGGUUGCGGAAGGCGGAAUGUGUGGUGUAGCGGUGAAAUGCUUAGAUAUCACACAGAACCCCGAUUGCGAAGGCAGCUUGCCAAGCUAUUACUGACGCUGAUGCACGAAAGCGUGGGGAUCGAACAGGAUUAGAUACCCGGGUAGUC